rnacentral:rRNA from 1 species
CCUACGGGAGGCAGCAGUGGGGAAUAUUGCACAAUGGGGGAAACCCUGAUGCAGCGACGCCGCGGGAGUGAAGAAGUAUUUCGGUACGUAAAGCUCUAUCAGCAGGGAAGAAAAUGACGGUACCUGACUAAGAAGCACCGGCUAACUACGUGCCAGCAGCCGCGGUAAUACGUAGGGGGCAAGCGUUAUCCGGAUUUACUGGGUGUAAAGGGAGCGUAGACGGCAGCGCAAGUCUGGAGUGAAAUCCCAUGGCUUAACCAUGGAACUGCUUUGGAAAAUGUGCAGCUAGAGUGCAGGAGAGGUAAGCGGAAUUCCUAGUGUAGCGGUGAAAUGCGUAGAUAUUAGGAGGAACACCAGUGGCGAAGGCGGCUUACUGGACUGUAACUGACGUUGAGGCUCGAAAGCGUGGGGAGCAAACAGGAUUAGAUACCCUGGUAGUC